rnacentral:rRNA from 1 species
UAAUACAAGGCAGACGGCUCAGUAACACGUAGUCAACCUACCCUAUGGACAAGAAUAAUCUCGGGAAACUGGGCAUAAUUCUUGAUAGAUCAUAAUGCCUGGAAUGGUUUAUGGUUAAAAUGAUUCGUCGCCAUAGGAUGGGACUGCGGCCUAUCAGCUUGUUGGUGAGGUAAUGGCCCACCAAGGCGAUUACAGGUACGGGCUCUGAGAGGAGAAGCCCGGAGAUGGGUACUGAGACACGGACCCAGGCCCUAUGGGGCGCAGCGGGCGAGAAAACUUUGCAAUGUGCGAAAGCACGACAAGGUUAAUCCGAGUGAUUUCUGCUAAAGAAAUCUUUUGCCAGUCAUAAAACCACUGGUGAAUAAGGGGUGGGCAAGUUCUGGUGUCAGCCGCCGCGGUAAAACCAGCACCUCAAGUGGUCAGGAUGAUUAUUGGGCCUAAAGCAUCCGUAGCCUGCUCUGUAAGUUUUCGGUUAAAUCUGUAUGCUCAACAUACAGGCCGCCGGGAAUACUGCAGGGCUAGGGAGUGGGAGAGGUAGACGGUACUCGGGAGGAAGUGGUAAAAUGCUUUGAUCUCUCGAUGACCACCUGUGGCGAAGGCGGUCUACCAGAACACGUCCGACGGUGAGGGAUGAAAGCUGGGGGAGCAAACCGGAUUAGAUACCCGGGUAGUCCCAGCCGUAAACUAUGCAAACUCAGUGAUGCAUUGGCUUGUGGCCAAUGCAGUGUUGCAGGGAAGCCGUUAA